rnacentral:lncRNA from 1 species
UGUGAUUGAUGGAAAAAAAUUUUCAUAACAAUCAUAAAUGGAUUUGAGCUGAUCGAAUCUAUCAUAUGACUGAUGAUGAGGUUUGACGAUUGAUCCAUGACCUGCCAUCUAGUCGGGACUCAUGAUAGAGGGACUGAAUCACACAUGGGCUACACCUUAAGAUUUUUUUUUUAUUCUACUGAGUUGCCACUACAUACUACUAGGUGUCACUGGU